ACCGCAGUUGAGAGUAUAAGUAAUUUACUAACCGAUGCAGCUAAGAGUACUUUUGGCACAUAUACCCAGCAAAAACUUAAUCCAAAUUUACAAAAAUAUAAGAAGGCAUCCAAACCGUGGUUUGAUGAUGAUUGUAAAGAAGCCAGGAAAAAAUAUAAAUCAUCAAAAAGAAAGUUGAGAAGAAAUCGAUCUCAACUUCAGGAGGCCGAAACUAAAUCAUUAGAGAAAAAAUAUAAGAGGACUAUGGAUAAAAGUAUGAGAAAACAUAGGAAAAAAAUUAGAAAUAAAAUAAAUAAUUUGAAAUCCACUAACCCAAAAGAAUAUUGGAAAAUUUUGAAUAGUGGAAAAAAACAGAAAAGCCCUAAUAUACCUAUGAACAUAUUGUUAGAUUAUUUUAAAACAUUAAAUGCUGGUAGCGCAAAUGAAGAUGGUGAAAAUGUAAACAAC
rnacentral:lncRNA from 1 species